UCUGCGAGUCAAGAGACCCAGCUCCUUGCCGAGGCGUAUUUGACAACCUCCAUGUGUCUCUGUCAGCGAGUGUCUCCGGGUGGCCUGCCAAGGACUGAAACCCAUCAGCUCUCUGGAAGUUGAUUGAAA